rnacentral:rRNA from 1 species
AAUCAACGCUGGCGGCGUGCCUAACACAUGCAAGUCGAACGAGAAAGCGGGGGCAACUCCGUGAGUAAAGUGGCAGACGGGUGAGUAACACGUGAACAACCUACCCUCGAGUGUGGAAUAACACCGCGAAAGCGGUGCUAAUACCGCAUAACAUCCCUGGGACGCAUGUCCUGGUGAUCAAGGGCGAAAGUCGCUAGAGGAGGGGUUCGCGCCUGAUUAGCUAGUUGGUGAGGUAACGGCCCACCAAGGCGACGAUCAGUAGCCGGCCUGAGAGGGCGUACGGCCACACUGGAACUGAGACACGGUCCAGACUCCUACGGGUGGCAG